GACGAACGCUGGCGGCGUGCUUAACACAUGCAAGUCGAACGGAAAGGCCCUGCUUUUGUGGGGUGCUCGAGUGGCGAACGGGUGAGUAACACGUGAGUAACCUGCCCUUGACUUUGGGAUAACUUCAGGAAACUGGGGCUAAUACCGGAUAGGAGCUCCUGCUGCAUGGUGGGGGUUGGAAAGUUUCGGCGGUUGGGGAUGGACUCGCGGCUUAUCAGCUUGUUGGUGGGGUAGUGGCUUACCAAGGCUGUGACGGGUAGCCGGCCUGAGAGGGUGACCGGCCACAUUGGGACUGAGAGACGGCCCAGACUGCUACGGGAGGCAGCAGGGGGGAAUAUUGCACAAUGGGCGGAAGCCUGAUGCAGCAACGCCGCGUGCGGGAUGACGGCCUUCGGGUUGUAAACCGCUUUCGCCUGUGACGAAGCGUGAGUGACGGUAAUGGGUAAAGAAGCACCGGCUAACUACGUG
rnacentral:rRNA from 1 species